CCUANGGGGGCAGCAGUCGAGAAUCUUCGGCAAUGGACGCAAGUCUGACCGAGCGACGCCGCGUGGAUGAAGAAGGCCUUCGGGUUGUAAAAUCCUUUCGGCCACUAGGAAUAAGGUCGGGUUAAUACCCCGGCUGAUGACCCUGUGGCGGAAGAAGCUCCGGCUAAACACGUGCCAGCAGCCGCGGUAAUACGUGUGGAGCGAGCGUUGUUCGGAAUUAUUGGGCAUAAAGGGCGCGUAGGUGGAGUGUCGUGUCCGUGGUGAAAUCCCCCGGCUUAACCGGGGAAUUGCCGCGGAAACUGGCAUUCUAGAGUGAAACAGGGGUGAGUGGAACUCUGGGUGUAGCGGUGAAAUGCGUAGAUAUCCAGGGGAACGCCGGUGGCGAAAGCGGCUCACUGGGUUUUAACUGACACUGAGGCGCGAAAGCGUGGGGAGCAAACAGGAUUAGAUACCCGGNUANUC
rnacentral:rRNA from 1 species